rnacentral:rRNA from 1 species
UACGUAGGGUGCGAGCGUUGUCCGGAAUUAUUGGGCGUAAAGAGCUUGUAGGCGGUCUGUCGCGUCUGCUGCGAAAAUCCGGGGCUCAACCCCGGACUUGCAGUGGGUACGGGCAGACUAGAGUGUGGUAGGGGAGACUGGAAUUCCUGGUGUAGCGGUGAAAUGCGCAGAUAUCAGGAGGAACACCGAUGGCGAAGGCAGGUCUCUGGGCCGAUACUGACGCUGAGGAGCGAAAGCGUGGGGAGCGAACAGG